GUGUCAGCAGCCGCGGUAAUACGUAGGUGGCAAGCGUUGUCCGGAUUUAUUGGGCGUAAAGCGAGCGCAGGCGGUUCUUUAAGUCUGAUGUGAAAGCCCCCGGCUCAACCGGGGAGGGUCAUUGGAAACUGGAGAACUUGAGUGCAGAAGAGGAGAGUGGAAUUCCACGUGUAGCGGUGAAAUGCGUAGAUAUGUGGAGGAACACCAGUGGCGAAGGCGACUCUCUGGUCUGUAACUGACGCUGAGGCUCGAAAGCGUGGGGAGCAAACAGGAUUAGAAACCCCCGUAGUCC
rnacentral:rRNA from 1 species